UUCUAGACUCCCGUGCCUCCUUGGGGUAAUUGGGCAGCUCCAGGGGGAAACGAGCCCAUUUGGCUAACAAAUGGCGACCACGAAGGGACUUCUCUCCCUGUAGAGGGCACUGACCGACGGCCGAGGGCGAUUCCGAGGAGUGGCCACCUCGAGCGGUUGGUUUGCUCGGGCCUCGGAUCGUCACAAUCGGCCGGGGCGGCUGUGUCCUCUCUAAAGAGAACUCUGAAGGACACGGAAGCAAGACGGCUUCAGAAGAAGGGGAAGUCUGACUGCCGGACGUGGCCACUUCGGGCGGUAAGUGCGUUUACCUCCUGGGUUUGAGGAAUAACGCCCCCGAGGUGUGGGUUGGACAGUGGAAAUCCCCUAGGCAGCCUGUAUACGGGAAGCUUCAUCGAUACGCGGCGCCAUUCCAGGCUCUCCCCUUGGACCAGACCGUGCAUCCGUUCCGGAUCGGUGACCAGGUCCUUGUCAAGAAGUGGAAACGCGACCCCCUUACACCACGGUGGGACGGCCCGCACACUGUCUCGCUCAUCAGCCAAACUGCGGUCAAAGUUCUCAGGAGCGACAAAUGGACACACCAUACACGGGUAAAGCGGUUUCUGAGCCCUAGCCCGGAGACUGAACUAGCAGAAGAGGACACCGGCCCUCUGCCCACCCCGGCUCCGGACGCCCGGGGUGGCACAGGUGAAGACUCUACCUGGGAGUACCAGUACUUGGACGGACUAAAGGGACUGUUUAGAAAGAGAUAAUGAAAUUGCUGCUAAUAUCUUUGUUUAUAUGCUUCCACCACUAUUAUGGUUGGGAGAAUAGGUUUUUAUAGCUAGGGGAGACAAUAGCGAGUUCCUUCAAUCUUAGUAGCUGCUGGGUUUGUGGAGGUCCAGGGGAUUGGAAUGAAUGGCCUUGGGUAGCCCAGCCAGUGCCAGCUAAAUGGUGGAUUAGUAAUUUAAGUAUAGUCCACAAAGGAACAGAAGUUUGGGAUGAGGAUAGUAUCCCUUGGCGACUCUAUUCCUCUGAGAUGGGGAUCCUUUGUCUCAACCGAACAAAACCAGAAGGGGUGUAUGUGGGCAAAAGCCAAUGUGACUGGACUCAAUGACUAGGAUUUGACUGCUAUGAUCACCCUAGUUGCCAUACGUAUGACUGUUCUAAAUAUCAAGGACGGUGGAACCAUACCCACGUAAAACUCACUAAUCAUAGCUGGGUACAAUGUUCCUACCAACAGCAUACUGGCGAAGGCUGUAAGGCAGUUGGACAAGAUGGGUUCUUUGAUGCCCUCUUUCUAAGUUGCCAGCGAGAUAAUACCAACAGUAAGGAUCACGUGGUACGCUGGUAUCAGUGGGCAUGGCAACAUUCUAAUGGAACUCGGGUAACCCAUUUUAAUCAUUUUUGGUCUACUACCAAUAGCCCUAAAUUUGGUUGUAAUUGCGCUUGGAAGGAAGGGGCUGGGGCAUGGAAAUGUGAAUACUGCAAUCCUGAUGGUACAUCUAUUGUACUAGGGGGGCCCUUGGAAAUGGGUAACUCGUUGUAUUACGAAGAACCGGGCCCCAAGGACUAUCCCGAAACCUGGGAUGGCCCCUUCGCGAAUGGACAAUGGGCCCUAAAAGGCCAUUACUGGAUAUGUGGGCAACUCGCAUAUCGGAGAUUGCCUCCAAAUUGGUCAGGAAUAUGUUAUGUUGGGUACAUUAGGCCCUUGUUCUUUCUACUACCACAAAUUCAGGGAAAUAAAUUAGGAAUUAAGGUAUAUGACGACUUGAUUAGGGAAAGGCGGUCCGUUGAUUCCGCAUUAACAGCUGGAAGCUCCCAAAAGUGGGGAGCUCAAGAGUGGCCCCCUGAAAGAAUUAUACAGCAUUAUGGUCCAGCCACAUGGAAUCCUAAUGAGUGGAUCUCAGGGGCCAGGGAGCCCAUUUACAACUUGAAUCGGAUAAUUAGGCUGCAAGCCAUCUUAGAAAUAAUAACUAAUCAGACGGCUGCAGCUCUCGAUCUUUUGGCCGAUCAGUCCACUCAGAUGAGGAAUGUGCUCUACCAGCACCAUCUAGUUCUUGAUUAUUUGCUGGCAGAGGAAGGGGGAAUCUGUGCAAAA